rnacentral:rRNA from 1 species
UACGGAGGGUGCAAGCGUUAUCCGGAUUCACUGGGUUUAAAGGGUGCGUAGGUGGGUUGGUAAGUCAGUGGUGAAAUCUCCGAGCUUAACUCCGAAACUGCAUUCGAUACUGCCGUGCUUGAGGACUGGAGAGGAGACUGGAAUUUACGGUGUAGCGGUGAAAUGCGUAGAUAUCGUAAGGAAGACCAGUGGCGAAGGCGGGUCUCUGGACAGUUCCUGACGCUGAGGCACGAAGGUCAGGGGAGCAAACGGG